UACGUAGGGUGCGAGCGUUAAUCGGAAUUACUGGGCGUAAAGCGUGCGCAGGCGGUUCGUUAAGUUCGUUGUGAAAGCCCCGGGCUCAACCUGGGAACUGCAAUGGAAACUGGCGGGCUUGAAUGCGGCAGAGGGGGGGUGGAAUUCCGCGUGUAGCAGUGAAAUGCGUAGAGAUGCGGAGGAACACCGAUGGCGAAGGCAGCCCACUGGAUCGGUACUGACGCUGAGGUGCGAAAGCGUGGGGAGCAAACAGG
rnacentral:rRNA from 1 species